rnacentral:misc_RNA from 1 species
AAACUGCGAUAAGUAGUGUGAAUUGCAUUUAGUGAAUCAUCGAAUCUUUGAACGCACCCUGCACUCACUGGUAUUCCGGUGAGUACGCCUGUUUCAGUAUCAUUGAAAACACACAAUCAAAACAUUUUCUUUGGUUUGAUUGGCUUUGGGUCUAUCAAAAAGUUUGGCUUGUUUCUUACAAGCCAAGCGGCCUGAAAUAUAUUGUCUGGCUAAUUGCAUCGUUGAUGAUCGCUAUUAGACCUUGGCUUUUUUAAAUGAACUGGAGGUUGAUUAACCAGUUUUAGCUUUAGUCAAAUGGUCAUUGUAAAAAAAAUCUCGAUCUUGGCUAGGUGUUUAUAGCCGAAAAUUUUUUUUUGGCUAUAACCGAAACCAAUAUAAUCACAUUUAGUUAUCGAUCUGAAAUCAGGUGGGACUACCCGCUGAACUUAAGC